GGUUAAGCGACUAAGCGUACACGGUGGAUGCCCUGGCAGUCAGAGGCGAUGAAGGACGUGCUAAUCUGCGAUAAGCGCCGGUAAGGUGAUAUGAACCGUUAUAACCGGCGAUUUCCGAAUGGGGAAACCCAGUGUGAUUCGUCACACUAUCAUUAACUGAAUCCAUAGGUUAAUGAGGCGAACCGGGGGAACUGAAACAUCUAAGUACCCCGAGGAAAAGAAAUCAACCGAGAUUCCCCCAGUAGCGGCGAGCGAACGGGGAGGAGCCCAGAGCCUGAAUCAGCAUGUGUGUUAGUGGAAGCGUCUGGAAAGGCGCGCGAUACAGGGUGACAGCCCCGUACACAAAAGCGCAUGUGCUGUGAGCUCGAUGAGUAGGGCGGGACACGUGGUAUCCUGUCUGAAUAUGGGGGGACCAUCCUCCAAGGCUAAAUACUCCUGACUGACCGAUAGUGAACCAGUACCGUGAGGGAAAGGCGAAAAGAACCCCGGCGAGGGGAGUGAAAAAGAACCUGAAACCGUGUACGUACAAGCAGUGGGAGCACCCUUUGGGGUGUGACUGCGUACCUUUUGUAUAAUGGGUCAGCGACUUAUAUUCUGUAGCAAGGUUAACCGUAUAGGGGAGCCGUAGGGAAACCGAGUCUUAACCGGGCGUUAAGUUGCAGGGUAUAGACCCGAAACCCGGUGAUCUAGCCAUGGGCAGGUUGAAGGUUGGGUAACACUAACUGGAGGACCGAACCGACUAAUGUUGAAAAAUUAGCGGAUGACCUGUGGCUGGGGGUGAAAGGCCAAUCAAACCGGGAGAUAGCUGGUUCUCCCCGAAAGCUAUUUAGGUAGCGCCUCGUGAAUUCAUCUCCGGGGGUAGAGCACUGUUUCGGCUAGGGGGCCAUCCCGGCUUACCAACCCGAUGCAAACUGCGAAUACCGGAGAAUGUUAUCACGGGAGACACACGGCGGGUGCUAACGUCCGUCGUGAAGAGGGAAACAACCCAGACCGCCAGCUAAGGUCCCAAAGUCAUGGUUAAGUGGGAAACGAUGUGGGAAGGCCCAGACAGCCAGGAUGUUGGCUUAGAAGCAGCCAUCAUUUAAAGAAAGCGUAAUAGCUCACUGGUCGAGUCGGCCUGCGCGGAAGAUGUAACGGGGCUAAACCAUGCACCGAAGCUGCGGCAGCGACGCUUAUGCGUUGUUGGGUAGGGGAGCGUUCUGUAAGCCUGCGAAGGUGGCCUGUGAGGGUUGCUGGAGGUAUCAGAAGUGCGAAUGCUGACAUAAGUAACGAUAAAGCGGGUGAAAAGCCCGCUCGCCGGAAGACCAAGGGUUCCUGUCCAACGUUAAUCGGGGCAGGGUGAGUCGACCCCUAAGGCGAGGCCGAAAGGCGUAGUCGAUGGGAAACGGGUUAAUAUUCCCGUACUUGGUGUUACUGCGAAGGGGGGACGGAGAAGGCUAUGUUGGCCGGGCGACGGUUGUCCCGGUUUAAGCGUGUAGGUGUGUGUUCCAGGUAAAUCCGGUUCACUUUAACACUGAGGCGUGACGACGAGGCACUACGGUGCUGAAGCAACAAAUGCCCUGCUUCCAGGAAAAGCCUCUAAGCAUCAGGUAACAUCAAAUCGUACCCCAAACCGACACAGGUGGUCAGGUAGAGAAUACCAAGGCGCUUGAGAGAACUCGGGUGAAGGAACUAGGCAAAAUGGUGCCGUAACUUCGGGAGAAGGCACGCUGACACGUAGGUGAAGUGAUUUACUCAUGGAGCUGAAGUCAGUCGAAGAUACCAGCUGGCUGCAACUGUUUAUUAAAAACACAGCACUGUGCAAACACGAAAGUGGACGUAUACGGUGUGACGCCUGCCCGGUGCCGGAAGGUUAAUUGAUGGGGUCAGCGCAAGCGAAGCUCCUGAUCGAAGCCCCGGUAAACGGCGGCCGUAACUAUAACGGUCCUAAGGUAGCGAAAUUCCUUGUCGGGUAAGUUCCGACCUGCACGAAUGGCGUAAUGAUGGCCAGGCUGUCUCCACCCGAGACUCAGUGAAAUUGAACUCGCUGUGAAGAUGCAGUGUACCCGCGGCAAGACGGAAAGACCCCGUGAACCUUUACUAUAGCUUGACACUGAACAUUGAGCCUUGAUGUGUAGGAUAGGUGGGAGGCUUUGAAGUGUGGACGCCAGUCUGCAUGGAGCCGACCUUGAAAUACCACCCUUUAAUGUUUGAUGUUCUAACGUGGACCCGUAAUCCGGGUUGCGGACAGUGUCUGGUGGGUAGUUUGACUGGGGCGGUCUCCUCCUAAAGAGUAACGGAGGAGCACGAAGGUUGGCUAAUCCUGGUCGGACAUCAGGAGGUUAGUGCAAUGGCAUAAGCCAGCUUGACUGCGAGCGUGACGGCGCGAGCAGGUGCGAAAGCAGGUCAUAGUGAUCCGGUGGUUCUGAAUGGAAGGGCCAUCGCUCAACGGAUAAAAGGUACUCCGGGGAUAACAGGCUGAUACCGCCCAAGAGUUCAUAUCGACGGCGGUGUUUGGCACCUCGAUGUCGGCUCAUCACAUCCUGGGGCUGAAGUAGGUCCCAAGGGUAUGGCUGUUCGCCAUUUAAAGUGGUACGCGAGCUGGGUUUAGAACGUCGUGAGACAGUUCGGUCCCUAUCUGCCGUGGGCGCUGGAGAACUGAGGGGGGCUGCUCCUAGUACGAGAGGACCGGAGUGGACGCAUCACUGGUGUUCGGGUUGUCAUGCCAAUGGCACUGCCCGGUAGCUAAAUGCGGAAGAGAUAAGUGCUGAAAGCAUCUAAGCACGAAACUUGCCCCGAGAUGAGUUCUCCCUGAGACUUAGAGUCUCCUGAAGGAACGUUGAAGACGACGACGUUGAUAGGCCGGGUGUGUAAGCGCAGCGAUGCGUUGAGCUAACCGGUACUAAUGAACCGUGAGGCUUAACCUU
rnacentral:rRNA from 1 species